UAGAAUCCCAAGGAUAGUAACAAAUACAACAUGAUCACAUGAAGUAUCCAAGAACGUACAAAUGCCAAACCUUAGAUGCAAGUCGGCGUGGCUCUAGGACCUUGAAGACCUUAGAGAAGGCAUGCAUGUCAUGAGAGAAGCCAUUGGAGGCUUAGGAGUCGAUGAGAGAUCAUCGAAGAAGAUUGGAGAAGAGAGAUUGAUGGUUGAAGGGAUAGGGUUUUAGGGUGAGGAGAGGAGAUGAGAGAAUACAGAGGCAGC
rnacentral:lncRNA from 1 species